GCCACCUCAGGAGACCAUUAGUCUGUGAACCAGAGGACAAGUCCACCCAGCCACUUUGAAGGCUAGGGGAUUAAUAUAUCCCCACUCCCUGCACCAAGACGCACCCAGCUUUCUGCUCCAGGAUACAACUGCUAAUUCCUAGGGGGCACCUCUCAGUAUUGGAUUGACGGCCUGAUGCUAACCGUGCUCUUCCUACUACAUUAUAGGAAAUCCUUUUAAACCCUGAUUCAGUCAUGGUCCAGUCAGCUGUAAGAAACCACAUCAGUUAUUUGAAUAAAUAAUUUAAUAUUGGAAACUGGCUUCAACAGCUAUUAGAGGACUAAAAAGCAAACUUCAGAAAGCAACCAUCACCACUGCUCGAUUGGAGAACAAAAAGAAAAGGCUGAGGUUGGCAGGAGAUUGAAGGAGAAGCCCUGCAGAGCUGGAGUCAGACGCAGAGGGAGUGCUGCCCGUGGGCGCUGGGACCUCUGAGACAGGACAAGGUGGCUUGUCCUAGGAGAGUGGGGGACCAACUGCGACUGUGAUCAGCUGCCACUGCCGAGGUGAAGAGCCAUCACUCGGGGAUGCUAACAAAAGAGUGACCAAAUGGAAUGCAGCAAGUCCCUUCUCCAGCUUCAGCCUCCGAGUCUCUUUCCAGUGCCCCUAAAUGGCAGAACUUGGAGAGCCAGCUGGCCAAGGAGGAAUCAGGUUUGCAGAGUCCCUGUCCUGGCACCACAAAGCAGAAUAUAGAAGAGUGGGUUUGGAGUUAAGAGACAAUAACUUAGUAAUCGGCACAAGGCACCCUUCUGAUCACUCACAUACACCCCACGCUUCUGCAUAUACUGAAAUUUCCACACAAGAACAACUUCCGGCUUGUGGAUUUCCCUUAUUCUCUCGUGAGCUCAGCAAUGCGCUUUAAGUAUUCAGUUUGAGUGUGUCAUUGAUCUAGCAUCCGGGGGUGUGCUGCAGCAGGGCCUGGAAAAAUACCUGCUAUGCCAUGCUUUCUGAAGGGGAAACUCCAAGUACAGUUUUCAAAUCCUCUGCUGAAAUGGUUUGUGUCCUCAUUCGCUCGGUUUCUAUCUCCUGAAGGAUCGGCAUCUCCAUUAGCUUUUGAUAAAUGUGUCAUGUGUCCACUAGUAGAAUCUGUUCCAGCUUUUUUAAAAAUGUCAUCUUCUCAAAAUGAAUUUAUCAUCAAAACUCAGAGCUUUUUUUAUUUGCAGAAACCAAUUUGUCAGUUUUCAGCAAGUCUUACUUGAAAUGGUCAAGCUAACAUUUUCUCCACAGAAAAGAAGUAUUCAACAAGAACUUGCCUUGUCCUAUUUUUGGCUUGUCUGUCCCUGUUUACCUUCAAACAUUGUGGUUAAUUUCACGCCUGUCAUUUUAGGGUCCUCUGGUCCUUCAAAAAGAGAUUCUUUCCCCAGGAAUUUAAAAGGAUGUCGCUGGUCAUUUCGGAUUCUUAAAAUUAAAAAGUGAAUCUGAC
rnacentral:lncRNA from 1 species